UUACGGUUAUACCACGGUGAAUCACCAGUCCCCGUCCGAUCAUCGAAGUUAAGCAACUUUGAACCUAGACAGUACUUAGAUGGGUGACAGGUCGGAAAUACCAGGUGCAGU